GAUGAAGAACGUAGCGAAAUGCGAUACGUAAUGUGAAUUGCAGAAUUCAGUGAAUCAUCGAAUCUUUGAACGCAUAUUGCGCUCUUUGGUAUUCCGAAGAGCAUGCUUGUUUGAGUAUCAGUAAACACCUCAAAAGAUUUUCAUUUUUGAAAUGAUUUUGGACUUGAGCAAUCCCAACACCAGUCUUCACGGAUCGGCGGAGGGUUGCUUGAAAUGCAGGUGCAGCUGGACAUUCUCCUGAGCUAAAAGCAUAUCUAUUUAGUCCCGUCAAACGGAUUAUUACUUUUGCUGCAGCUAACAUAAAGGGAGUUUGACCAUUUUGGCUGACUGAUGCAGGAUUUCACAAGUGUCGGUAAAACGAUUUUUGUAAAACUCGAUCUCAAAUCAAGUAAGACUACCCGCUGAACUUAAGCAUAUCAAUAAGCGGAGA
rnacentral:misc_RNA from 1 species